GAUGAACGCUAGCGGCAGGCUUAAUACAUGCAAGUCGAGGGACAGCACAGGUAGCAAUACUGGGUGGUAACCGGCAAACGGGUGCGGAACACGUACACAACCUUCCUUUAAGUGGGGGAUAGCCCAGAGAAAUUUGGAUUAAUACCCCGUAAUAUAGUUGAAUGACAUCAUUUGAUUAUUAUAGCUACGGCGCUUAAUGAUGGGUGUGCGGCUGAUUAGAUAGUUGGCGGGAUAACGGCCCACCAAGUCUACGAUCAGUAGCUGAUGUGAGGGCAUGAUCAGCCACACGGGCACUGAGAAAAGGGCCCGACUCCUACGGGUGGCAGCAGUAAGGAAUAUUGGUCAAUGGACGGAAGUCUGAACCAGCCAUGCCGCGUGAAGGAUUAAGGUCCUCUGGAUUGUAAACUUCUUUUAUUUGGGACGAAAAAGGGCCUUUCUAGGUCAACUGACGGUACCAGAUGAAUAAGCACCGGCUAACUCCGUGCCAGCCGCCGCGGUAACAC
rnacentral:rRNA from 1 species